GGAUGUGAGUAUUCUGGCUUUGAUCUAUUACCCUAAGACUAUCAUGGUUGAUUUGGUUGAUCUGAUUAACUAGGUAGAUCUGACCCUUUUUCCUUUACGAUUUCAUGUGUGUCCUUCCCGAAGCUGUAAACUUUUGUUAGAGAAAGAUGACUUUCUUCAAAGGAUGAAGAGCGGUUUUCAAGUCAAGGGAACAUGGAU
rnacentral:snRNA from 1 species